GACUUCUGUGCCCAGGCUGGCUUUGAACCUCAAAUCUCAGCCUCCUGAGUAGCUAGGAUUCCAGGCCUAAGCCACUGACACCCAGCAUAGCUGCAAUUCUUUUCUGUCAAGGCAAUGAUGUUGAAAGUAAUGUCUGAGUGGAUAACCUAUCUUUGGGUCAGUAUAUCUCUUCUCUUCCUUAGAGUGCAAGGGACAAGUCACUCUAUAAGAAGAAGGUCCUCAGGUUCUUAAAUUUGCUAAGCAGGUGCUCUACCAUCUGUGUCUUGUACCCCAGCCCUAUUUUUUAAUUACUUGAGACAAGGUUUCACCAGCCAGGCUAGUCUUGAACUACAAAGCCCAAGGCUGCUUUCACACCCUCCAUCUUCCUGCUUAAGUCUUCUACUUGGUAGGAUUGUAGGCCUGAACCAGCACAAUAUCUUCUUUCUUAACACUUUUCCAUGGGUUGGGAAGUAAAGCAGGGUAGUUUUAAAACAAAACUUGAAGGGCUGGAGCUAUAGCUUAUUGGAUAGAGCAUUCGUCCCUGGGUUUGAUCUUAAGUACACCCUCUCCCUU